rnacentral:rRNA from 1 species
AUUGAACGCUGGCGGCAGGCCUAACACAUGCAAGUCGAGCGAGUGGCGGACGGGAGAGUAAGGAAUGGGAAACGGCCUGAUGGAUGGGGAUAACUAAUGGACACGGUAACUAAAUACGAAUUGCAUCGACUAGGCCGGGAUGGGAUUAGCUAGUAGGUGGGGUAAAGGCCCACCUAGGCGACGAUCCCUAUCUGGGCUGAGAGGAUGACCAGCCACACUGGAACUGAGACACGGUCCAGACUCCUACGGGAGGCAGCAGUGGGGAAUAUUGCACAAUGGGCGCAAGCCUGAUGCAGCCAUGCCGCGUGUAUGAAGAAGGCCUUCGGGUUGUAAAGCACUUUCAGCUGGGAGGCGUUACCCGCAGAAGAAGCACCGGCUAACUCCGUGCCAGCAGCCGCGGUAAUUC